rnacentral:lncRNA from 1 species
AGCAGAACAGGCCAUGUCACAGGACUGGUUCACACAGUAGAAGGGACUUGUCUAAAGCGCAGGUACUCUUUGGAUUUCUAUGCAGGCAAAUUUCCUAAGCUCCAUCCACGUCUCCACUGAAUGCUGUGUUGCUUUGAAAUUUCACCAGCCCAACAAACUCAUCCACCCUUGUGAAUUCAGCCUCACUCAGAAGUGUAGGGCACCAGCACAGAGGAGCCAUGUUCUCCAGCAGGGUGUUCUCGGAAAUGGCCUUCAGUUGGAUUUCUGAUCAAGCUCUCUCUUCUCUCCUGGAGCCUCAUGAACGUAGCCUUCACUUCUCUCAACAUUCUGGCCUUCCACAAUCUCUUCUACAGGAUCACCUGCUCCACUCUGUUUGUGGUGUUUGAGGGCUUCUCUGGCCUGUGUGGCUACAAACUCUUCUACUUCCUCUCCCAAACCACUUCCAACACACCUUUAGUCAUAUGUCUAGGUUAUCACAGCAACUCCCCUCACCAGUGCCACUAUCAAUAGUCUUCUCAUGGUGCUGAUGUAAAACCUGACAGAAGACUAUUAUGUUUUGACUCAUGUCUUGAGAAGUACAGUCCAGCAUGGUGAACAAAUCAUGGGCUGUAUUUGGUUUGUGGCAGACAGGAGCCAAAGAGGAACUUGCCAGAACUAGAAUCGGGCUUCAGGACAAAAGGCCUGCACCACAACAAACCACUUCCUUCAGCUGGGCUUCAUAUUCAAACAGUUCCACAGCCUCCCAAAACAGUGCCACCAGCUUGAGACUAAGUUCCCAAACUAAUGAGCCAUCCUUUGAAUCAUACUCAAAGCAUGACAUGUGUGAACCAGCCUUUACACAUUCAUAUACUGGAUGCAGACACAUCUAAUAUAUACAUACAGGUGAGGUGGUUCUAUACAAUUUUAUUGGACUAGAAAAUCUGCAGCCUAGUGACUGAUUGAAGAACAAUACACUACUUGUCUGUGGUAAUGCUAUGAUCAAAAAUCAAAGUGCUGGUGGGGACUGAAGAGAUGGGAGUCACAUGCCAAGACCCCUCAAGUUAUAAUUUUCCUGAUUUCAAAAUGGAGUGAACAGACCUAUCAAGUCCUGCUCACUCCUGCAGCUCAGUCCUGCCUGCCUUGUGUUCAGAACACUUAAACUAAUCACACUGAGGCAAAGCCAUGCCACCCAAAGCCUAAUUUAUACUUAAGUGCUCAAUAUUAAACAUAGUCCUGAGAGAC